rnacentral:lncRNA from 1 species
UUUCUGAACGACCACGAGGAGAGAGCUUCCCACUCACCUGGACUGCUCAUCUCAGAAUUGCUACAUGAGCGAAAAAGAAACUGAUAUCCUUUCCACUGCUGCGUUCUGGAAUCUCCUUGUCAGCCUGCUCUACCAAAUACACUGAGGCUUUUGGAAAGAGUAAGAGUGGAAACAGGACUUUUUUCAUGGAACAUCUCCUGUGUCCUCAGUCCUGUGCCAGAUACAUGGUGCAGUCAAAAGAAAUCUGAAAUACGACUCUGGAAGUUUUAAAGUUCUAAGAAGGACUUUGAAGUAUUUGGGGACACAGGUUGUGUCCCAUCUUUUCAUCUAGCUGAUAACUGUGACUUUGGAAGAGAAAGGAGAGGAUAUUGGGAGUGAACAGCUGGUGAUGUUGAUGGUGUUGAAGAGGAUUUCAUUUCCUGGGCAAGAGCCCAAGAAACUAGAAUUGAGGCUACUGGCAAAGGAUGGAGAGCACCACAAAGACAGGGAAGAAUGUGUUUGGCAGGAGAUUUUCCAAUGGCAUCUAAGGGCACUUACAAAGAUUGUUAGGGGAUGCAUAGUGGACAGCUGUUGUUUUUGUCUCCUCAGCAUCCAUUGCCAUCUUCUUUUCACAGCCUCUCUAUCUUUGAAGGGAAACCAUUCAUCUUCUGCUCAUAAUCUAUGUGGCCACAGAGAAUUGUCACCAUCCUUUGUCUCCAAGGUUUAUACGUGGGACGCCUACCACAGCGUGGCUGCCAAGCAGUGCCAUGUCCGCACCCGGGAUCCGAACCAGCGAACCCCGGGCCACCGAGAAGCAGAACGUGCGAACUUAACCGCUGCGCCACCGGGCCGGCCCCCAAGACUGCUGUUAUUCUUAAGCAAAAAUAAAGACAACUGGAUCAGAACUUUAUUGAUGGCCUUACAUGUCUAUCUCCCAACGCAAAGGGUAUAGGGAACGAAUAAGGCAAGAUUUUCAAGUUAUUGAAGGAAGAAAAAUAUAAUUUCAUAAGCAUCACUGUCACAUGGAGAGGAUUCAUAACUAGAAAGUGACAAUGAGAGGAAGUAUGUUGUUCAAAAGAUGCAAACCUAAUGGAAACGGAAAAUUGUGUAGAAGCAUCUGCAGAGAAAGCCUGCCCAUCAACUGCAGAGCUUUUGGGUCAGGAAUAACAAGGAGAACCAGAGAAACAGACCCUACUCCACCCCCGGGGCCGGAGGAAGCUUCCAGAGGAUACUUUCCUAAUACCUAUCAGGAAGGCCACGAAACAGGGUUUUCCCGGGGAAUUCCGCUUAUCCAGACAUAAGUUGGG